rnacentral:rRNA from 1 species
GAUGAACGCUAGCGGCAGGCUUAAUACAUGCAAGUUGAGGGGCAGCAUGAUAUACGCGAGUAUAUUGAUGGCGACCGGCGGACGGGUGAGUAAUAGGUAGGAGACCUACCUCAUACAGGGGGAUAGCAUAGAGAAAUCUGUGGUAAUACCCCAUGAGGUUAUAUGAAUAGAGGCAUAUAAUCAAAGCAUAAGCGAUUAUGCGGUAUGAGAGGGGCCUACUGACCAUUAGCUAGUUGGUGAGGUAAGGGCUCACCAAGGCGAAGAUGGUUAGGGGUUUUGAGAGAGAGACCCCCCACAUUGGAACUGAGAGACGGUCCAGACUCCUACGGGAGGCAGCAGUAGGGAAUAUUGGGCAAUGGGCGAAAGCCUGACCCAGCCAUGCCGCGUGAAGGAAGACGGCCUUAUGGGUUGUAAACUUCUUUACUACGCGAAUAGAGGUUAUACGAGAUACUAAUAGGAAGGUAGUGUAGUAAAAAGCAACCGGCUAACUCCGUG